rnacentral:rRNA from 1 species
CAGCAGCCGCGGUAAUACAGAGGGUGCGAGCGUUAAUCGGAUUUACUGGGCGUAAAGCGUGCGUAGGCGGCUAAUUGAGUCGGAUGUGAAAUCCCUGAGCUUAACUUAGGAAUUGCAUUCGAUACUGGGAAGCUAGAGUAUGGGAGAGGAUGGUAGAAUUCCAGGUGUAGCGGUGAAAUGCGUAGAGAUCUGGAGGAAUACCGAUGGCGAAGGCAGCCAUCUGGCCUAAUACUGACGCUGAGGUACGAAAGCAUGGGGAGCAAACAGGAUUAGAUACCCCUGUAGUCCCUGUCACUUAUAA